GCAACUCUUUAAGAAAGCAGGAGAGGAAGAGGGAAAGAGCCUCCUGGUGAAUUCAUAGCCUCCGAGGGGUGGAUUUGAACUGCCCCCAAUGACAGAGAAAGGUAAAGAUGCCUGGAUGAGGCUGCAAAGGUGACUUACUUUAAUGGGACUUAAACUAUACCCAGAUUAGUGUGCAUAGGAUUGCAGCUUUGAUGUUACUAAUCUUAAUAUAACCUAGUUUGUUCCUAUGCUUAAAAACAUUCAAAGAUCCCUGGAGCAUAUUUCAUAAAUUGGAGCCUUCUGCAGAUGCAACCGCUGAAUGGUUUGUGGGAGAAAAACGAAAGGGAAACAGAAAAAGUGAAGAAAAGAAAGAAAACUACUAACCAAAGUCAAGAGAUAUAAUAGCAUCUCCGGGUGUUGGUGCCAAUUGUGCCAGUUCUUCUGGUUCUUCCUUCAACU